AUUGAACGCUGGCGGUAUGCUUAACACAUGCAAGUCGAACGGUAGCAUGACUUAGCUUGCUAAGUUGAUGACGAGUGGCGAACGGGUGAGUAACGCGUAGGAAUAUGCCUUAAAGUGGGGGACAACUUGGGGAAACUCAAGCUAAUACCGCAUAAUUUCCUUGGAAAAAAGCUGGGGACCUUCGGGCCUGGCGCUUUAAGAUUAGCCUGCGUACGAUUAGCUAGUUGGUAGGGUAAAGGCCUACCAAGGCGACGAUCGUUAGCUGGUCUGAGAGGAUGACCAGCCACACUGGAACUGAGACACGGUCCAGACUCCUACGGGAGGCAGCAGUGGGGAAUAUUGGACAAUGGGGGCAACCCUGAUCCAGCAAUACCGCGUGUGUGAAGAAGGCCUGAGGGUUGUAAAGCACUUUCAGUGGGGAGGAGGGUUGACUGGUUAAGAGCUGGUUAACUGGACGUUACCCACAGAAGAAGCACCGGCUAACUCCGUGCCAGCCGCCGCCGUAAAAC
rnacentral:rRNA from 1 species